rnacentral:rRNA from 1 species
UACGUAGGGUGCAAGCGUUAAUCGGAAUUACUGGGCGUAAAGCGUGUGCAGGCGGUUGUGCAAGACAGAUGUGAAAUCCCCGGGCUCAACCUGGGAAUUGCAUUUGUGACUGCACGGCUAGAGUGUGUCAGAGGGGGGUAGAAUUCCACGUGUAGCAGUGAAAUGCGUAGAUAUGUGGAGGAACACCGAUGGCGAAGGCAGCCCCCUGGGUCAAAACUGACGCUCAUGCACGAAAGCGUGGGGAGCAAACAGG